UGGGGAAUAUUGCACAAUGGAGGGAACUCUGAUGCAGCGACGCCGCGUGAACGAAGAAGGCUUUCGAGUCGUAAAGUUCUUUUAUAUGGGAAGAUAAUGACGGUACCAUAAGAAAAAGCCCCGGGUAACUACGUGCCAGCAGCCGCGGUAAUACGUAGGGGGCUAGCGUUGUCCGGAAUCACUGGGCGUAAAGGGUUCGCAGGCGGAAAUGCAAGUCAGGUGUAAAAGGCAGUAGCUUAACUACUGUAAGCAUUUGAAACUGCAUAUCUUGAGAAGAGUAGAGGUAAGUGGAAUUUUUAGUGUAGCGGUGAAAUGCGUAGAUAUUAAAAAGAAUACCGGUGGCGAAGGCGACUUACUGGGCUCAUUCUGACGCUGAGGAACGAAAGCGUGGGUAGCAAACAGG
rnacentral:rRNA from 1 species